GACGAACGCUGGCGGCGUGCUUAACACAUGCAAGUCGAACGGGCCUUGUCCCCUUUUUUUUUGGGGGUGGGGUUAGUGGCGAACGGGUGAGUAACACGUGAGUAACCUGCCCCUCACUUCUGGAUAACCGCUUGAAAGGGUGGCUAAUACGGGGUGUUCUGGCCUGCUCGCAUGGGUGGGUUUGGAAAGAUUCGACCGGUUUUGGUUGUUUUGGUGGGGGAUGGGCUCGCGGCCUAUCAGCUUGUUGGUGGGGUGAGGGCCUGCCAAGGCUUUGACGGGUAGCCGGCCUGGGGGGUGGGCGGUCACCCUGGGACUGGGACCCGGCCCAGACUCCUACGGGAGGCCGCAGUGGGGAAUAUUGCACAAUGGGCGCAAGCCUGAUGCAGCGACGCCGCGUGAGGGAUGGAGGCCUUCGGGUUGUGAACCUCUUUCGCCAGUGAAGAAGGUCCUGCUCUUUGUGGUGGGGUUGACGGUAGCUGGGUUAAUGAAGCGCCGGCUAACUACGUG
rnacentral:rRNA from 1 species